CUGUGUCUCACCUCUCCUGCCUUCGCUUUCAAGGCGGCGACCCCACCCCCGCAUCCCCAUACACGCCUGCACAGCCUCCAACUCUCUCACGCUUUCUCAUGUGGGGCCCAUGGCGCACCGGCCCAUUCAUCUCGUCCUCGCGAACGGCGUCAGGCAGCCGCACACGGGUCGUUGCAUGCAACGAGAUCCGUCGCUGGAGUGAGCCAGCUGUGGGGCUCGUGCCUCUUGCGAGAGGACGAGGGUACGGCAAUGCCUUUUUCGCCACAUCACACGGCAGCAGCCGCUUCAUUUGUGGCUCCCGUUUUUCAGCGUCUGCGACGGCGUUCCGGCCGACGUCGCUGCUGCUGUGCUCGCGCCAUUGCCGCGAACCACUGGCGAGUGGCGGCGACAGUGUGGCGCCGCCCGCGUCACCGCCUUCGCAGCCGCCUUCUGCACCCUCAGCGGCGUCGCAGCGCAAAGAGUACACGGCAGAGCUGCUGCGCAGCAUUUCACGUCGUGGCGGUGGUGCCGUGCGCCGCGCGCGACACGGCACCACCACCUCUGCUGCAGUCGCCCUAUCCGCCCUUCUGAACCCUUCCAGCAUAUCGGCAAAGGGGGAAGCGACCAACAACGGUGGCGGCGCUCCCGCACUCGCCGCCACGUCGGUGAAAGGAGCCGAGCAUGUCGCAGCCGGCUCACCGCUGCUGCGUGUAUUCGACGCUACACACGCGCCUCGCUCCACAGCGCCGUCCCGGCCAGCGGAACCGAAGUCGCCAUCAUUCGCCGGCCCCAUCGCCAAUCGACGCUCCAGUGCUGAAGCACCGCGCACGAGACGCAACGCAAACUCAAACGCGAGUGUUUUUACCGCAAGUAGCACGGCAGGGGGCGGGGCACCGUCGUCUGCACCUCCGCCAGCACCCCGACCAACGCCGCUGUCCCGAGCACUGCUCCACAAGCUGCUCCACACGAUUCGAACUGAGAAGCGGGUCCCGUGGGACGCCCUCUCUCGGCUGCACCCGGAGCUGCUUCACAUGCCCCUCUAUGCAUGCCGUCACGAAUGGUGUGAGGGCUACUGCGCUCGCGGAAGCGCGACACCGAUCGUCUCGCUGGCGAAGGCCGGUUCCGCCAGGGCACCAUCCUUGCCUGCCGCCUCUCUUACCACCAUUGCAAAACCGCGUGGUGAUCGCAACGGUCAUCGGCGCCGGCUUCCGCCGCUGCUGCUCUGUGCCGCGUCCACCGGAACCGGAAAAAGCGUGCUCAUCCCGCUUUACGCACUCGACGCGCAUUGGGCAGUGCUGGAGCGACGACUGCUGCGGACGAUCGACGCCUACGACAAAGCCGCUGCAGCGGAGGCCACGGAGAAGGUGCGGGGUGGUGCCCACUCCGCGCACGAUAACUUGCUCUCCGCCACGACGGCGCAACAGACGGCGGCUGCCGCGGCGGAGGCGGAGGCGGCCCACAUUGCCUUGCAGCCUUUCCCUCUCGACUCGCAAGAGAGCUUCAUACGCGAGUUCACGGCCUGCAGCCGGCUGCGCAUUGUGGUGAGUCAACCAACUCGUGUAGCAUGUGCGGAGCUUGCCGCGUAUGCAAGCGCGCUCUUGGACGCCGGUCGCACGCGUGUCGGUGCCAGUGACAGCACCGAGGUGGCGCCGGCAGGAGCAGGACUCAGCGGCGGCCGCCGCCGCGACAAGAAGCAGUGUGCCCUGAGCCGUCGGCUUGUUGGGAAGCGGGUAGGUUUUGCUGUCGGUGGGGAGUCACAGUUCUGCUCCGAAACAGAGAUUGUCUUCGCCACCCCUGGCUACGUUCUCAAUGCGCUGCAGGUCUCCCAUCCCCAGUCGUCGCUGUCGCCAACGACGCUUGUGGUGGAUGAGGCACACUGCCGCGACAUCGAGACGGAUGCCUUGCUGGCCUGGAUGAAGCUGUCGCGAGAGUGCAGCCAAGGAGGUGAUGCAUCGACAUUGGAUACCUCGGCGCCGCUGCCGGUGCUGCGUCAGUACUACGUGGUGUCCGCUACCAUGAAUCUGCAGGCGAUGGACGCCUAUCUUUGUCGAGGACUUCAGAACGGCAGCAACGGCGAGCGCGACGCCCAUCCAGGGCCGCGCGAAGGCCUCGCACGAGGGCCCAAGCGCACCAUCGCCGAGAGCGAUGCCCUCCCCGAGGAUGCCGGGGGCACCGACCCCGUGUCUGCAGACGCGCCGCUUCUGCUUCUAUCUCCGAUGCAACUUCAUCAUGUGCGACGGUGGUGGCAAAGAGAGCAGUCGCUCGGCGCUGGCGGACGUAUCGAUGGCGCAGACGUGGACUCCGCCGUGGCGCGGGCUGUGACGACGGAUCAACGCGUGCGCGCGGCCGUCCUGCAGCUCGUAGAGGUCACCGAAGGCUACGGCGAGUGCGAUGACGGUUACCGUGACGACCUCCUUCUCAUCGGUGGCGCCGCGAGUGCGGCGAACGGCUCACCCGCCGCCAGCUCCACAGAACACGCGGUGGCCGACUUCUUUGCCAGCAGUGCCAAGAGUCCCACAGAGACCACAGCCAGAGUGGCGCCAUCGCGUCUGUCGCCUCCCCUCAACCCAUCGGAGCUUCGCGGAGCUGACGGCGCGGUGAUUGUCAUUGCCACCCAACCGUACCGUGUGGAGCGCUACUUCGUCGACGAUCUCGAUCCCGUAAAGGGCUGCUUUGCGAGGUCGCAGGUGCUGUUUGAUGAGGCCACACGUCUCAGUGCUACCGCUGCUGCAUCGGCGGCAGCGGCCCGCACUCCUUCCAACGCGCUGCAAGGUGGGGCUAGCGGAGGUAGGAAAGGUGGAAGCCAACCCAAGCAAGGCGACAAGGCAGCCUCCUCCGCGUCCGCUGCCGACGCCACCCAGCGGACGAGCAGGGGCUUUCCGAUGUGCCUCACCGACGAUGGUGCCGCACUCCGAGCGCGGUUGGUCGAUUUACACGGCACGCGCGCCGCCUCCUAUGUCAUGCUCAGCACCCGUGCGCGCGCGCUAGUGGAGCUGAUUCUUCAGUUGCUGCAGGCCGCACGGCUUCGAUGGAUCGACGGUGCGGCCGCGCCUCCCGCGACACCGCGACCUCCGCGCAGCGAACAGUCCUACCACGCCGAUGACAUCGCCUCUGAGCCGGUGUCAACGACUCUCGCAGCCGCAGAUCCGCCGGCAGCGGAGGCUCCGAUCACAGUGCUGGUAUUCGUCGCCGGCAUCAGCGAGCUGCACCAGAUCAUGCUGGCUCUCGAACGGCUGUGCGACACUGUGCAGCCCUCGCCCUCGACGGCGUUGUUCCCAUCCACCAACGUUGCAGACUCGAGCGCACCCUCGACUCUCGUGCUGCGCCACGGCUCCGAAGUCUUCUCUGUCGGUCUUCUGCACUCUACCGCGGUGGGGAGUCCGCAAGAGCAGUUGACGGCGACGGAGCACUCGGGGGCGCCGUUGCGCUUGCUUCUCUCGACCAACGUCGCUGAGAGCUCCCUCACCAUUGCGAACACCCGCGUCGUGGUGGACACGUGCCUUGAGCGCCGCAUCAGCACCGACGACGUCACCGGUGCUACGCAGGUGCUGACCUCCUUUGUGUCACCGAGUGGGCUGCGGCAGAGAUGUGGACGGGUUGGCCGGACUGGCGAUGGCGUGGUGAUCCACCUGGCGCCAAGGCGGUUUGUGCUCCCAGAGACCCUUCUGCAGCCUCCGACGACGACGCGGCGGGCCGUGUUGCCCACGUCCUCAACUGCAGGCCUGCCCGAUUCUUCAGCGUCGACGCUGACCUUCGAGGCACUGCCUGAUGGCGUUGCAACGGUGCUGCUGCGGCUAAAGUUUCUCUUCGCGAAGGUAGGUGACGCGUUGGCGGCGUUGCCGUCGCCGCCGAGCGCCGCAGCGGUGCGGCUGGCCUUGCAGCAGCUCGCGGAUAUGGAUCUUCUCCUCUUGCCGGAGGCGGCAGAGACAACGCCGCCUCAGGAGACGACUCGCAACGUACCCGAUCUCGCAGCGCGCACCGCCUCCACUGAGCGACGCAGCUUGAUGGAGGCCAGCGCCGCCUCUGCCUCCGCAGCCGCACGUGGGCCGUUCCGUCCCGCUAAUGCAGUCGCCCUCUAUGGCGGCGACGGCGCGCUGCUCCCUCUACUAGACUGCAGCACUUUUACCCCAAAGGGUUACUUCGUGGCAAGUCUGCCGCUGCCGUACGAGCACGCUGCCCUCGUCUAUUAUGGCCUGCAGUUCUGCUGCGUCGAGGACGCGCUACUGGUGGCGUGCGCCAUGGCCGUCCCGUCGCUGUUUCUGACGCCGCGCGUGUCGUCCCGUAGCGCCAUCCAGAUGGGGGCGCGACGCGGCACAAACUCUGACUACGCCUCGCAGCGAUGGGACGUGGACAGGAUGCCGGCCCUCUCGCCGCUCGAGCAGUUCUAUCGGCACCUCUGGGUGCAGCGUCACCUUGCCGGCUUCGCCGUGCAGCGGAUGGUGCGCCCCGCCGCCUGCCCGUCCGACGGCGGCGAGGCGACCAACAGCCGCCAAUGCAUCCACGACAAGAGUUCCGCGAGCGGCACGGGCGAGCCCGCGCCCACCACGGCCGCUGCGACAACGUCGGUGGAGCGGCAGGCGGGACAGCUGAGUGAACCUCUCAUGUUGCGCGCACUGCUGCGGCAAUGGUACGCCUUUUCGAAUGUGGACGCCUGCAUCGGGUUCCAGAACACGCACGGCCUGAAUAGGAGCGCCAUGCGCCAAGUGGACAGCAUGGUGGCUCAGACCUGCGGCCGGCUCAUUCGACUACUGCUGCAGGUGAGCACCGCCUCAGAGGAUGGCGCUGCCAAGCGCUUCGUUGUCGAGGAUGCUGAGGCCGAGGUGGAUUUCGGGGCCUACGUGUGCCAAGCCGGCGCUGUUGGGUCCGGCGCGACUGUCCUGCCAAGCAUGAACGGCAUGGCACGACGUGGCAGCCGCGGCGGUGGCAGCACUAUCGGCCGUAUUCCCUUUCUUCCAGACUGGCCUGCAGAGGCCCGGGAGCAGCUGCUGCGCUCACUGCGGCGCCUCCAGCGCGUUGCGGUGGGUCGUGUGCACCUGCGCCACACCGAAGUGCGGCAACGCUACGGCCUGCCGCAGUGGUACGACAGCGAAGAGCGGUGGAUUCGACUGUGGGGUCGUCCAUAUCUGCGGCAUGGCCCCACCGACCACUUGGCCUCACGUAUCAGCGGGCGAGGAGCAGGCAAAAUCAGUGCCGGUGUUGUGGACAAGGAGCGAGACGCAAGAGAGGCGGUGCAGCGGCACCCGUGCUUCAGGUACUGGGUCGAUGGCCUGCCUGCGUUGCGGUCGCCCUACCCAUCCCUCUACAGGCAGCAGCGCACGACGUCCGUCGCUGUUGGCGGCGCCAUCACCCCUUUCUCCACAAGUGUGCCUCCGCCGUUGUCCACGCAAGUCACGCGGUCAAAGGUGCCCAUCUACCGCCCGCCAGUCCCGCCACCGCCGAUCCCGCCCGUCGUCUUCGCGAUGGGCCGCACCGACGAUCGACUGUGCGCCGCCUUCGUAGCCGCGUUUGGCCACCGAACCUUGCGCGGCGAGGACGGGGGGCACCGCUUCCACCACCGCCGCCUGCGCCGCAACAUGCAGGCGCUGGCGAACGACGAGGAGCACGUCUGCACUUUUCAUAUAGAUGUGCAGCAGCAGCAAGACCUAGCAUCGUCGUCCCUGUCUAGCAGUGGUGCAGCGGAUCAACCGACAUGCACCGCGCCACUGUCCCCGCCGUCCAACUCCUACGACCUCCUCCACGCAUCGGGUGUGACGUCGAAGUCGGUGGAGCAGGCCCUUUCUCCAUACCUGCGUGGCGCGGGCCUGCAGCAGCUGGAGGUCUUCCAAAGCAACCGCCUCGCCGUGGCAGCUCGCUUCGCCAGCGACGGGUUCAGCGGCCUCUUCGACAGCCUCUCGCCCAGCUACACCGCCGUUCUCUGCGCCAACGGCGACGCUGACAGCAACGCAGAUGAAGAGAGCGACGACAUGUGCGACGGCGGAAGCGACGCCGUCUCUACGCAGCGCGUUCAUGCGGUGCGGGAUGGACGGCGCACUGCUGCAAGGGGCACGAGAAGUGCCGAAGCCAUGUGUGGGGUCGCAACUUCAGAGGCAGCACCGACAAACGCUCGGCCGGUAAGCGCAGACGGUGCACAUGGACCGCCAUCGGAGGAUCUACUGAAGGCGGUAGUGCUCCCGUCCGCGUUGCGAUACGCUGACGGGGGGAGGCCGCCACCGACAGCGGCAUCGCCUGCCCGAGACAACUCCACUCGAAUAAGUCAUCCGUACGUGCAGCUGGCACCUUUCGGCGUCAGCCUCCUCACUGCCGCGACCGCAGGCACCGGCGGUGGGGGUGGGGGCAGCAACCUUGGCAGCCUACAGCGCAUACCCUUGUCUGGUGUUGCGACCGCUGCACUCAGCUCGCCAACUGUGCCGGCGCACCCGUCGUCGUCCUUGACCACCGUUCCCACCUUACACUCCGCAUCGCUCGUACGUCAGGCCGACUCCGCUGCGGAUGAGCGGCGCAGCGUGCGCUUCGUCGAGGUCCCUCUACCGUCCGCCGCUGCGGCAACGCGGCCCGCCCGCGGUGGCGCCGCCACUGCGACUGUGACGACGACGACGUGCGUGGCGUGGUCCGACAACCUUGGCAUUAGUGGCCGGUCGGUCACUCGAGCUGCCGUAGCAGCCUUGGGUCUGGCGGACCUGUUUCCCACGGCGCCUCCGCUGUCGAAGAACUCGUCGCCGCUCGACAGCCGGGGAACUCCCUUGCGCACCAACAGCGGCGACGGCACGGCCGCCGCCUCUGUGCCUUCAUCGGCGUGCACGAACUUGCAGCCGUCGAAUGGCACGGCAACGCCGACAACGCUUACGGUCAGUGUCGUGCCGCCCAUCUACGUUACCCGCAGCAUCACGUGGAAGGUGCUUCUGCCUGCCCUCGUACCCCCCGCCUCCUCGAUGGCGCAAGCCACGCACAAGGGCAGCACCGACGCGGCACCGCCGCCUGCGCACUACUGUAUGCUCUGCAACUACCUGUGCUCUAGCCAAGGCGCCCUUGACCAGCACUACCGUUGUGCCAGCCACCUUGAGCAUCUCUACCAUGCCGUUCAGCUCGGACUGCGCCGCGAGCACCUGGAGACGCUGUACGGCUGGGCCCCACGGACCGCAAGCGGCCAUCAAUGCGCGGGCACAGAUGAGGCACACACGCGCGAUCACCCCGGUUUCAGCGAAAGCGAAGGUAGCGCCAGCACGCUCCACCUUGCACCGCCUGUCACUGCUGCGUUGCCGCUGGCGUCGCUACUCUCCCUUCAGAGCGUCACCCGCCUGCCGCUCGCCCAGCACGUCUACCCAUGUGUAGUCGGUGCCCAGUCAUUCUUGAACUGCCUACAGUGGUCCGCCGGUGACCCUGCGCCGUCAUCGUCAUCCCUGCCCUCGUCACGGGAGCCGAAACUCCCGGGCGCGCAUAAAGCGGAGGGCAGAGCAGCAGGGGCGCACCGCGCGACGCCGCUCGCGGUGGCUGGCAGUCUCGUGGCGCUGCAGAGCGUCACCGAUGUUCUUCCGCCGCCGCACCUGCGGAAGCCGACGCAGCCAAGCCCGUGCCGCGGUGGUUUUGGAGUGGGGGCGGCGCCACCGUCGUCAUCGGUCGACGCGGAGACACUCUCGGCGCAUCAUGUGUGGGUGCUGAACUUGUCCAACAGCGGCGAAGCGAGUGCGGCUGCCUCGGGAACUACUUCGCCACCGAUGUCAGCGCUGCUCGUUGUGGCCGGCUACCUCGCCGCUGCCUCACCGCAGGCCACGGUGGCGCUGCUGCUCAACGACACACACACACACCUCCACGCGGUGAUGCUGUACGGCUUGGGCGUGUGGCGGCUGCCGACGCCGCUGCCUAUGCAAGGCUACAUGGGUCUCCUGGAGCAUAUCGGACGCGGCGGUGGCUGGCCCGGUGUGCUGGUGCCCAUGACUAACGUACCGUCCCAUAAAAGGCACGAAAGCGUGCGUGAAGAAGCGUCACCUGCGACGCAUGGCCCCUCGGACGGGCUCCACUGGUGCGCUCCGGAGGCGGCGUGUGCCCUGAGCUCAGACAAGCAUCGCUGCGGCAUGUCGGCGAGUGCGCGCGCGCUAAACCGUGACGCCAUCGUGGAGGCCACGCUACUUCUCGUCCUUCACGAAUAUCUUCACGCGCGCCGCAACAUGGUCACCCUGGCCGACUACGUUGAGCGCGUGAUGCACAAGCUUCAGCUCUCUCCCUUUGUGGUGUCAGGCGCGCGUGCGGUGCACGGGGCCGAGAAGGCAUCACCAGCGGUGACAGCAGCAGACGUGUUGACCGCAUACCUGAUACACGUCCGUCACGGCCAAACCGUACAGGCGCUCUUGCGCGACCUCGGGUGCGUCUUCGCGACACCGCCGCGCGCUCUGGCGACGCUCAUGCAACCCGCAAGGGCGUCUACUCCUGCCAGAAGUGCCGAGGAGGGUUGCAGUGCUGCGCAAGUAGGGCUGCGUGCUCCCCGCCGCCAUGAGGCGUCCUUGUCGCCUGCGGCGGCGGCGCUGUCAAAACGGCUCAGCUACCGCACGCUGGGUGCCGAAGGGGCAGCGGUGGAGAUGAUGUUCACGGUACCACCGGCGCUCCCGUCGCGGCUACCGCCGGUCACCUUUGCCGCCCAGCUACGUCAGUUCUACGUCGACCGUCACGCGCACCGCUGGAUGCCGCAGAGGCAGGCGUCUGCAACGCCGGCACGCACGAGUGGCGCCGCGGCCAGCACAGCCCGAGCGGGAGACGAGGAGCUCAUCAAGGGUAAUUCACAUGCGCGCCCUGCACGUGCGCUCCAAGCCCGCGACAGGGCUGGCCGCCUACGUGGCCCCCGCAAGGUCGACAAGGGCAUCGAAAUCGUUGAUGAUGAGGAGAGCCUGCCGCAGUUUUAGACGCUGAGUUCAAAGGAAGGGAUAGAACGGUGUCAAGCCUCCCUCCCGCACCGCUGGCGUUAUCCGCACACCCGCGCGUGCGGGUGUGCUGGUGUCGCUGUUUGGGUCGAUUCUUUCUGUCUGUUUAUCCAUCCCUACCUAUCACAG
rnacentral:misc_RNA from 1 species